rnacentral:sRNA from 1 species
AUAGGGUUCCGUUUUGGGUGAGGUUGAAGAGAGAGUUGCCGUCGUUCAUGUACAAGAUUGG